AGAUAGCUGGUUCUCCCCGAAAGCUAUUUAGGUAGCGCCUCGUGAAUUCAUCUCCGGGGGUAGAGCACUGUUUCGGCUAGGGGGCCAUCCCGGCUUACCAACCCGAUGCAAACUGCGAAUACCGGAGAAUGUUAUCACGGGAGACACACGGCGGGUGCUAACGUCCGUCGUGAAGAGGGAAACAACCCAGACCGCCAGCUAAGGUCCCAAAGUCAUGGUUAAGUGGGAAACGAUGUGGGAAGGCCCAGACAGCCAGGAUGUUGGCUUAGAAGCAGCCAUCAUUUAAAGAAAGCGUAAUAGCUCACUGGUCGAGUCGGCCUGCGCGGAAGAUGUAACGGGGCUAAACCAUGCACCGAAGCUGCGGCAGCGACGCUGAUGCGUUGUUGGGUAGGGGAGCGUUCUGUAAGCCUGUGAAGGUGGCCUGUGAGGGUUGCUGGAGGUAU
rnacentral:rRNA from 1 species